CCCUUGUUUAUUUGCUGUCUCCUUCGCCUUGCUUCACAACACAACCAAUUGGUAGGACCAAACCUACCAAUAUGAACUGAGCUGAGGACCUGCUGUAGGACCUGUGACAGAAUGGUCCGCAUUUUGAGUGGUAUGUGGAGGACUUCCUGGAUCUUUCCCAUCUGGUGAGUUGGCACAAUGUUUCACUCGGUGUGUGCUUUCAGAUGGGACUGGAUGAGGAAACUAUUCAAUGCAUGUAUCCUGUGUAUGAUGUACCUUUGGUCGAGGUGAUUAAUCUCAUCCUCUAUCUAAAUGGUUCAAAUUUUGCCGUAGAAGAAGUUAAUGAAAAUAAGAGUUGUCCUCAUCCAGCCACCUCUCAGAAACGCUUGGUCUCUCCAACUCACCUCACGGCAGUACCCUCUACAUGCCUCUCCAAUGGUUCCAUCCACUCCUACCCACCCAUGUUUCUCCGAGCCUGGAAGGAGGUUUCGAACAGCACUGACCUGGGAGCAAAAGUUAAAAGCACUGAAAUCCACCUCUCUUCCUCUGUGUCCAGCUCCUCCCAAGGUAGCGGCUUGCGCUGCAACAUUUCCAGAAGUGGCGGAGACCGCUCCAGAAUGCUCUCCAGAGUCCAUUCCAAAAUGCUCUUCAGUGCUCAACCAGGGGUCCACUAACACCACAGAGCUCAACCAGGAGCUCACUCACGCCACAGAGCUCAACCGGGAGCCCAGUCCUCCUAAGUCUCCUGAAUCUCAGCUGGUUCCAUCCAGCUCUCCUGAGUCUCCUGAAUCUCAGCUGGUUCCGUCCAGCUCUCCUAAAUCUCCUGAAUCUCCACUGGUUCCAUCCAGCUCUCCUGGGUCUCCUGAAUCUCUGCUGGUUCCGUCUAGCUCCCCUGAGUCUCCUGAAUCUCAGCUGGUUCCGUCCAGUUCUCCUGAGUCUCCUGAAUUUCUGCUGGUUCCGGCCAGUUUUUUAGAGUCUGCUAAGCUAUAA
ensembl:lncRNA